rnacentral:rRNA from 1 species
UACGUAGGGUGCGAGCGUUGUCCGGAAUUAUUGGGCGUAAAGCGCGCGUAGGCGGCUUUGUAAGUUAGAGGUGAAAGCCCGGGGCUCAACCCCGGAACUGCCUUUAAGACUGCAUCGCUUGAAUCCAGGAGAGGUGAGUGGAAUUCCGAGUGUAGAGGUGAAAUUCGUAGAUAUUCGGAAGAACACCGGUGGCGAAGGCGGCUCACUGGCUCAUUACUGACGCUCAGGCGCGAUAGCGUGGGGAUCAAACAGG